rnacentral:lncRNA from 1 species
GACAGUGUAAUCAUGGAGGCUAAAAUCUUAGUGUUCAUCAUACUCCAGCUGGAGCUUUUUUUAUUCUCCAAUUUGGUGUUGGGUGCCCAUUCCAAUGGUGGAAGCUGGGAGUUGCUGAAGAAAAGUAUUGGGAUUUCAUCAAUGCACAUACAAUUGUUACAGAAUGAGCGAAUAAUUACUUUUGAUAGAACCGAUGCCGGUCCUUCCAACCUUACCUUACCAAAGGGAAGGAAAUGUCCUAAAAUUUCAGGAAGAAGGGAUUGCUACGUGCAUGCAGUGGAACUGGAUAUGAUGAACAACCUCAAUGUU